rnacentral:rRNA from 1 species
GACGAACGCUGGCGGCGUGCUUAACACAUGCCAGUCGUACGGUAAGGCCCUUUCGGGUGUACACGAGUGGCGAACGGGUGAGUAACACGUGAGUAACCUGCCCACAACUUUGGGAUAACGCUAGGAAACUGGUGCUAAUACUGGAUAUGUGCUCCUGCUGCAUGGUGGGGGUUGGAAAGCUCCGGCGGUUGUGGAUGGACUCGCGGCCUAUCAGCUUGUUGGUGGGGUAGUGGCCUACCAAGGCGGCGACGGGUAGCCGGCCUGAGAGGGUGACCGGCCACAUUGGGACUGAGAUACGGCCCAGACUCCUACGGGAGGCAGCAGUGGGGAAUAUUGCACAAUGGGCGCAAGCCUGAUGCAGCAACGCCGCGUGCGGGAUGACGGCCUUCGGGUUGUAAACCGCUUUCAGCAGGGACGAAGCUUUUUGUGACGGUACCUGCAGAAGAAGCACCGGCUAACUACGUG